GCCCCGCCCCGCGGCCGCGCCCCGCGGCCCCCUCCCUUCCGCGGCCCCGUCUCCGCCCUCGGCGCUCCGCCCUCCCCCCCGUGGCUCCGGCCCGCCAGCCCGGCUGGCCUCCGGUUCCCGGCUCGCUCCUCCCGCGGCCACCGCCGCCGCUCUCCGACCCACCCUUCCCGGGCCGGCACCUCGCGCUCCCGCGCGCUCUUCCUACACACGCACUCCCGCCGCCGUGCUCCGCUCGCUCGCUCGCUCGCCCGCCCAGGCCCUGCCUCGGCCCGGCCCGGCGCAGCCCGCACCCCGCAGCCCGCCCUCGGGGAGCCUCGGCGCCCAGUGGCCGGCCGCCGGCACCUCGCGGAUGGGCGGGCGUGCGGCCUGGGAGCGCGAACCCGGGCCGGGCUGGGUCUCCCCAGCUCAGCCGGGCCCUCGGAAGCCUCCCGGAGCGCAAGCGCCCGUCGGAAAUGUUUAGAGGACAGGCCGGCCGAGGUUCCUUCAGCAGCCCAGGCCAGGCCGGCGCGCCCCGGGGAGUCGCGGCGACCUUUCCUCCGGGGAAGACUUGACCCAGAGCCUCCUCCCGGCUCCCGCCCCAAACCUGUGCCACCGACGCGCGACGCGCAGCUGAGACUCGAGGCUGGCGGGAGGAGGGCGGGGGACUGUCCAGAAAAUGCCCGAGCCGCGAGGGACCCUAACUGCCAACCGUCAGGCCCGGAGAGGCGAGAUCUAGUGAUACGUCCUGGCCACCCAGGGAGAGAGGUUCUUCAUCCAUUUGCCCCAAGGUCAACCCGAAGCCCGAUCUGCCAGAAGGAGGCUGCAAACAAACUGGACUCGAGGUCAACAGCAGUUACCCCAGGGGAGGGGGAAAGUGGAAGCACUCCUUCCCCCCAUUUACAGAUGCAAGAUUCACCCUGUACUUUGCAGCAGCUCAUUUGUAACCUGGUCGCUUUAGAAUUGGUCUAGCUCCCUGCCCACCUCACACCUCCAUCCCCAGCCUGAUGGGUCCUCUCUCUCCAUCCUCAGCCCUACACUGUCUUUGCCCAAGUCAGCCUGCUCUAAAUGGACAUGGACAGUGAUCCCAGCAGAAACUGAAGCAGUAACAAUCGGACAGUGUCAAGAGACUCCGGCAGAGAUGCCUCGGAGCGCCCGGCCUCCUCCUCUGCCUUGGCACAGAUGUUCUUAUUGUCCUGGAAAGAAAUACCAAAUUCCCUCCCCAAGCAUGAAGCGAGGAUACUCUGGGACUUAGUGCCCAAGGACAGAGUCGCCGGCCCAGCCCAGUUCCUCUGCCCCCUAAUCAGACUGAAACUGUCACCAUCCCUCUUCCCCAUCUUAGCCAAGACUUCUCCCCCUCGCUUAGGAGAUUAUGGGGAGUGGGGCUGGAGCUGCAUGAGAAGACUGCUAACUGUUCUACAGUCCUCUUUAGGGACUGUUAGCACAUCAAAAUACAUAUUUGGAAAAUGCUCACAAUUAACACUGGGAGAAAAACAGUAAACACAGUGUCACUUUGCCAGGCUCAACAGUUUUGUUUUGUUUUGUUUAAAUGCUAAUGGCCUCAAAUGGGGAGCAGCAUCCAUCAGUUAAAUAAACAAGCCAUUAGACUGAGACUAGAAGUGUCA
rnacentral:lncRNA from 13 species